GAUUCCCUGCCCGGCGCGUGAUGUGUCGUACAAGUGAGCCAACACUUCUAUCAUGGGAGUCCGGCGUUUUUGCCUGAAAGUCACGCCCCUCCGGGGAAGGCUGGACGGUAAGACAGGGCACCCACUUGGAGCAACUCGGUUCAGUUGCUUCCGACUCACACGACCGGGCGGGGUGUUU
rnacentral:other from 2 species